rnacentral:tRNA from 1 species
GUCCCUGUAGUUCAAUGGACAGAACGGGGGUUUCCUAAACCCUAAAUGGAAGUUCGAUUCUUCCCAGGGACA